rnacentral:miRNA from 1 species
UACUCCAGAGAGUGGCAAUCAUU